rnacentral:rRNA from 1 species
AGUGAACGCUGGCGGUAGGCCUAACACAUGCAAGUCGAACGGCAGCACAGUAAGUUCUUGCUCUUACGGGUGGCGGGUGGCGGACGGGUGAGGAAUACAUCGGAAUCUACUUUUUCGUGGGGGAUAACGUAGGGAAACUUACGCUACUACCGCAUAAGACCUACGGGUGAAAGCAGGGGAUCUUCGGACCUUGCGCGAUUGAAUGAGCCGAUGUCGGAUUAGCUAGUUGGCGGGGUAAAGGCCCACCAAGGCGACGAUCCGUAGCUGGUCUGAGAGGAUGAUCAGCCACACUGGAACUGAGACACGGUCCAGACUCCUACGGGAGGCAGCAGUGGGGAAUAUUGGACAAUGGGCGCAAGCCUGAUCCAGCCAUACCGCGUGGGUGAAGAAGGCCUUCGGGUUGUAAAGCCCUUUUGUUGGGAAAGAAAAGCAGCAGGUUAAUACCCCGCUGUUCUGACGGUACCCAAAGAAUAAGCACCGGCUAACUUCGUG